rnacentral:lncRNA from 1 species
AAAUUUAAAGAAUAGUUAGACAUGAGGAAUGUUGACCAUUUAAAAGUAAGCAUUUAAAUUUUCUGAAAUUUACUUAAGUUAUAUUAGUAAAUAUACUUAAAAUCUUUUAUAUUCAAGAAGAUACAUUUAACAACAUGCUAUUUAUAAUUACAAUGAAAUUAGUAUGCAAUAUUAGUGUAUUGUGAUUGGCUACCAAAAAGGACAACACUCCUUUUAUUCAUGGCUAAUAUAAUUAUAAAUUGUAUAGAAUUUUGUAAUUAGUUUUAUCAUUUUAUUAAAUCUGUAGAUUAUAACGACUCCUACUCUUGAGAAGCGUUUGUUUAUGAUUAUGUCAUCAAAUCACAUUAAAGUAUGAAGGCAGUUUAUACAAGUUUGUUAUCCAUUAUAAAUCCGGGAUCAAAGGUUGUCUAUUAAUAUUUGUAGAGCUACUAUUGAAUUAAGAAAUUACGUGAAUUAGGUUCAUCAAUUGUACUUAUCUACAUGUAUCUGUGCAAAGCAAAAAUAACAAAUUGCAUAAUGUACAGUCAAUUAUAGCAGUGUCCACCAAUAACUCAUAAAGGAAUAUGUAUGCACGUGUCCCAGAAAUAAUUUUUGCAAUCUUUUUGUGUCAAUUGAGUGACUAAAUAUUUUCAAGAUUCUACUUAGCUUUUAAUAAUUACAUUUGAUGUGUAUUAUAUUUGAGCGCAUUAUCAUUACAUUGGAAAUAAAUGCAUUACAAUUGUACGCAGCUUGAGGUACAUUUGUGAGCAUUCUUUGUAGGUAAAUACUUGUAAAUUAUACUUGUUUUCUUAUUUAACUCAUUCCAAUCAUAGUAUUACCUUAUGUUAGUCUUAGUCAUCUGUUUACCAACGAGGAGGUGAAAGUAGUUUUAUAUGUUUUGUCUUUUUACUAUUAUUUGUCGGUUUGUCUUUUUCUUUUUUAGCCUUGGCGUUGUCAGUUUGUUUUCGAUCUAUUAAUUUGAAUGUCCCUCUGGUAUCUUUCGGCCCGCUAUUACAGUUCUGUUGUGCUGAUUAACUACUAUCAUAAAUUGACGGAACGAUUGAGCGCUCAGAAAUAUGUGUAAACUCCUUAUAUAUAUAUAUAAUUACGUUCAUCUUUCGUGUGCCUUUCGCUUGAAACUGUAUUGCAGUGGUUGUUGUUUGUUGUUAUUUGCCAUAUUGUUUCUUCGUAUAUUGUUGCAUUAUAAUUAAGCCAUUUGUUUUGUCUUGAAAUGUCCUGUUUACAUAUAUUCAUCACAGAUCUUCUAAAGCUUACUAUACAGUAUGGUUGUUAAUAUCUGUACUUUAGACACCAAUUGAUAGCUGUCUCACUUGCAAUCAUACUAUGUCUCCUUAUCACUGCUUAUUUUUAUAUGCAUUUUAAUUGGUGCAAACCGCACAAUUCCAGGGAAGCAAUACAAUUAUAAGUAUACACACCAGAUUAAGGUCCAUUGUUCAAUGCCGUAUCUGACCUCUAUGCUGAUGUUAUAACGUUUGACCCACAUCUGUAUUUUCAUAAAGAUGAACUCAUAUCUAAAGUCGAGGGUAAAGUCAAUAUAACAUGGCCCAAACAACUCAAGACACACCGAGAAGAAUAAUCACAAACACUCCUUUCAAAAGAGUUCUUCAAUUAACUCAGCUUGCAAUCUUUACAAUGUGAAAAUAUCUUGUAAACCAACAACCAGUAGAAAACACGUAGACAAAUGCUCUAUAAGUAUUGAUCCGUAGAAUUCAAAACAAUCGAACCAAAUCUGUGUUUAAAAAAAGGCGGAAGGAACCAAAGGGACAUUAAAAACUCAUAAUUCGACAGGAAUCUUUGCAAAAAUCGUGAGACGACAAACAGACAGACAAUCCACUACUAAUAAUACGUCAAAAACUAAAAACUUAGCAACAAAAACCCUGUGUAAAAUGAUCGCGUAGGCAUAUCUUUGAAUAUUUUUAUUGUUUUUACUUUGUAGGUUGACAGACAUACGCAGCAAUGUAUUAUCAUUGUUUAUAUUGUCGAUAUGGUAAUUAAGUAAUUUCGGUUUUCAUUAUGUAGACAGACUAUAGCUAAUAUCAUUACUUGAAGUCUUGAAAUGGCAUUUCGCGGCAAUUUUCAAGUAUAGCAAUGGAUACCCUUUUGAAUGACUUUUAAAUCAAUUGUAAUUCAUUCGUAUCGUAUUCUAAUAAUGAAAUAAACGGUGUAAAUUAACUCUUAUUUGAAGGCUGUGUCCUGGUAUCAUAUCUUUUCGUAUUGACUUUUUUUAAAUAUUUCAACUUAAAUGCUGUUAAUUAGAAAUUCAAGAACUUUUUUUUCUGGUCGCUUUUCAUUAACCGAUCAAAGUGCUCGUUCUAAAACAUGUGUAUUAUUUUCUGAAAAGGUUCGUUACACAAUGUAUAUAUGCAAUUUGAUAUCUCGGUCAAAAAAAAAUUGUGUUUGUAGGAAUGGCUUGCAUUACCUUGCAAAAAUCGUCCAAAUGUUCCCGUCAAACAGACUGCUCUAGAAAGUGCAUUUCGAAUGACAUUUUUCUACCCGGAAGUGGAUUAUGAGAAUAUACUGAUAUCAAUCUUCAAAAUUAAGCCUCUAGUACUAAUACAAAAUGAUAAAUUCUGCCUGUAAUUACUUAUAUAUUUAAGAAUACACUGUCUAAAUACUUCAGUCUCGUAUUGAAGUUUUCACCGCGUUUGUCGAUAAAUGUUAUAGUAGUAGGUAUGUCACCUUAAUAAAUUACCUGUCUUCUACCUUUCUUAGUUACAAUAGUACCUUGUCUUAAUCCCAAUGCAUCCUUUACGAGACAUCAAAUUAUCUCGUGUCGGUUUUACAACUAUAUUUAACCUCAGGUCGAUCAGUAAGUAAACAUUGUAAAGCAAUGAAAUUGAUUUUCACAAAGUUCUAUUGCAUGCAUCAUGUGCAUAAAAAUCAAAUUCAAAUCCAAUAAUAAUUGUAUUAGUACACAUUCACCCCUUUGUUAAGCGGAAGCAUGAUAAAUUCCAUCGAAUAUUAUCAAAAACUUGUUUGAACUUUAAGAAACAUUCAUGAAAGAUUCAUUUCAGAUUUAGAAAUACACAUUUGAAUACCGCAUUGACGCUUCUGUUGAAAUUUUCUUUUUAAACAUGCUUAAAUGAGGCAAAUUCUUUCGAUCAGAUAUAAUCUGUUUUAAAUUAUAUGUUUAUUUCACAUUUGUAAUUCUUAAACAUUAAAGAAUUUAAAUUUAGGUUUUGUAGCUAUCGAAUCCCAAAUCACCUUGCAUGUCAAACAGCAGUUUUCCAGUUGUAUUUUGCUAAACCCUUUGUUAAAGUAAGGGGACGACCAUUUGAUAUUAUGGGGGCGGGGGGGACAGGAGGAUUUUGAAAAUAGAUAACUCAAGCCUUGAUAAUCACAAAAAUAAAUGGUUUGUUCUGUGGUAGUUUGAAAAUAAAUUUACCUGACUUGCAAUGUAUAGAAAAUAAAAACUCAGCAGGUCUAAUCGAAAGUAUAUGAGAUGGACCAGAUUUUCAUAAAUUCAUCUUUUUUCCCAAAAAAUGGGAAACUUCCAAUUUUUAAUAACAAAAGUAUAAAUAUUACUUAAAUAUAUGAAAUGUCUGAAAUUGGUUUCAUUUAACUUGAAGUAUUUGUCUCGGGAAACCUUACUCACCUUUAUUUUAACAGGGCCGUAACUCAUGUAGGUAAUUCAAAACCAAACGCUUGUCUCAUGUCAAAUUGUGUUCACGGCCUUGCAAGAAGAAAGUUCUGUUUUCCCUCAGACUUAUAGCCCUGAUUUUUCGGGAUCAAGUUUCUUAUUAUUUGUCUUUUGUUCAUUGUUGCUCUUCUGUAUUUGUUAGUGUUGCUUCUUUUUUUAAUCUAGUAAUUUUGUUAUGAACUUGAUCAUGAGUUAAAAAAAAACAGCAACCACAGGCUUAACUAUGUAAUUCCAUUUUUGCUUUAUCAUGCACAUUGUCUUUUGAUUUCCCUAGAAAUUCAGUCUUACACUGAAUUUAUACAUUUUGCUUUGAGACCAAUAUUGUCAAAAAAUUAUUAAAACAAAACUUCAUUUUCAGAUUAUGAAAGGGUCUUCCGAACACCCAGAAAGCAUGAUUUUAGCAUCAUUUGUUCUAUAGCUUCUUGGGCCUUUAGUGCUCCAAAACCUUCAAAAGAAAUUUGCCUCGCCCGCUCGGCAUAGUAGGUUUGCCAAAACAUUUAAAGUGCCUAGUUAUAACUAAACUUAAAUACUAUGUGUAUAGCGUUGGAAUUUAAAAGAUUCAUUUCUGUAGAGGGGGAUGGUUAAUCUAAUUAAAUGUUACAUAAUGACUUGACUAUACUAUAUGUAUUAUUUAUAAACAAACAUUAAAAAGAUGUAUGUUUUUCUCAAUAUCAAAAAUAUAGUUGUGAAAAUGAAUAAUCAGUCCCUUGCUUUAAUGAAAAUGAAAAUCUUGCUUCAAUAGUGCAGAAAUGAAUAUCUGUCCUCUUAGUUUGCAAAAAUAAAUAACGAUCAAAAACAAAUCCUCCUGCCCCCCCCCCCCAGAAUAUCAAAUGAUCGUCCCCUAACUCUACAUGUUAUUGCAUGCACGUAGGUACAAUGUAUCUAGAAAGUUACAGAAUCGAGAAAAUUAGAUAGUUUCUGAAAAUGAAUUCCGAACGGUAUGAUAGAGAACCUAAUAGUAUACAUUAAUAUUAAUGAAGAUAAUCGAUAGCUUUGAAUAGACUCAAAACUAAAGCUGUAAUAAGUGCUCACCUUAACAGUCAAUACAGUCUUCAGUGACGAUUAUAAGAUUUUUGUAUGACCAAUUUGUUUUCAUUCAUUUUGAGUCUAUUUUUGUUUGAUCAGCCUUAUUCAGGGAUAUAUUAAAUCAAUCCAAUGGCUUUAUGUUAAAUAUUGUGCAAAGUUUCUUUUGGGGUUCAAUUGUUAGUCACUAGAGGUACAUGACUGUUUAUGAACAGGCACACGGAAUGAAAAUGACAAUUUGUCUCCAAAAUGCCAAAAUUUCUGACGUACCAUUGAAACAAUACUUGAUAAUCUAACUCAAGUAGCAAGAGCAGCUACAUAAUCAUAUAUCAAGGCUUGGCUCUUGAACCAUUGCUUAUUUUUUUGUAUUGAUGUGGCAUAAGAACAUUCAAAUAAUCACAUAAUACUCAUAAAACAUGUGUGGAAACCAUUUAUAUAAAAGGAAAGACAGCAUUGAAUUUCGCUGUAAUGCAAUUCAUGAUACAAAACACUACACACACUUAACAAAAACAACCAUCCUUUUCCAAAAAUUCUUUAAUUCCACUUUCCGAGAAACGUUUCAGUAAAAAAAUCGAUUGCAUAAUCGUUAAGGUUUAGGUCUCAACACUAUGCCCAAUAUGUUUCUUUACUAUAAUUAAUUAAAGAUUGGAUUGUACAUUACUGAAUGAGAUAUCAAUAUUGCAUCGAGCCUAGUUAUCUUGUUUAAUGAAUCGUUAACUGUAUGUGUUUUGUGCUAUGUUAGGUCACAGUAGGUGACAGUAACAGUCAAUACAGUCUUCAGUGACGAUUAUUAGAUUUUUUAUGACCAAUUUGUUUUUCAUUCAUUUUGAGUCUAUUUUUGUUUGAUCAGCCACUCAAACAGGAAGUAUAAAAUUAUGAAUUGUUUUAAAUUAGUCAGACGGAAGAUUUCGGUCAGAUGUUUUUAAAAAAUGUGUUAAAACUUCUUUGAAUACUGUUAUUCAAAAUAUGCAUGGUCUAUUGCAGGUUGUAAAUGUAUGACAGGCGCAAAACAUAUUAACUGCAUGUCGGAAGUUGACGGUCGAUUGAUUAAUUUUAACUUAAUGUCCAGUGGCAAAUAUGUCAUGCAGGUAUAUUGGAUAGGGACAGAAGUUUUGCCUUCCAACAAGGACCAUUCAAAUAGUUGUUGCCAGGGUUUUAAGCGUGCAAAGAGCGAGCGACUUUGAUCUGUUUCUAAGAGUCAUCAAAUGCAGCGUUCCCAUUUUCUGACCAUAUUAAAUUGAAUUUUUUAAACAAAUAUAAAAUUUGUUUUUCAUAUUUUGUCUAAUAAAACAUGAAUAAUGAACUUAAUUUUUCCAUCCCUGGAUGUUUAAAGAUGAAACAACGUUUAAUGUAUGAACAAAGG